AUUGAACGCCGGCGGCAUGCCUUACACAUGCAAGUCGAACGGCAGCACGGGAGCAAUCCUGGUGGCGAGUGGCGAACGGGUGAGUAAUAUAUCGGAACGUGCCCAGUCGUGGGGGAUAACGCAGCGAAAGCUGUGCUAAUACCGCAUACGAUCCACGGAUGAAAGCGGGGGAUCGCAAGACCUCGCGCGAUUGGAGCGGCCGAUAUCAGAUUAGCUACGUGGUGGGGGAAAGGCCCACCAAGGCGACGAUCUGUAGCUGGUCUGAGAGGACGACCAGCCACACUGGAACGGGGACACGGUCCAGCCUCCUACGGGAGGCAGCAGUGGGGAAUUUUGGACAAUGGGCGCAAGCCUGAUCCAGCAAUGCCGCGUGCAGGAUGAAGGCCUUCGGGUUGUAAACUGCUUUUGUACGGAACGAAACGGCUCCUUCUAAUACAAGGGGCUAAUGACGGUACCGUAAGAAUAAGCACCGGCUAACUACGUGCCAGCAGCCGCCGCGGUAA
rnacentral:rRNA from 1 species